AAAGGUUUGGUCCUAGCUUUUUUAUUAAUUAUUAACAAGCUUAUACAUGCAAGAGUCAUCACGCCUGUGAGAAUACCCUAUAAAUCCCUUCGAUCAAAAGGAGCAGGUAUCAAGCACACCUACGGUAGCUUACAACACCUAGCCUAGCCACACCCCCACGGGAAACAGCAGUAAUCAAAAUUAAGCAAUAAACGAAAGUUUGACUAAGCUAUGUUAUACUCCAGGGUUGGUAAAUCUCGUGCCAGCCACCGCGGUCAUACGAUUAACCCUAAUUAAUAAAAGUCGGCGUAAAGAGUGUUAUAAACCAUACCAAAAAUAAGAUUAAACUCCAUUUAAGUUGUAAAAAACAACAAAUGAAGCUAAAACCACUAACGAAAGUAAUCCUAAUAAAUUUGAACACACCAAAGCUAAGGCCCAAACUGGGAUUAGAUACCCCACUAUGCUUAGCCGUAAACACAAACAUUCCACAACAAAAAUAUUCGCCAGAGUACUACUAGCAACAGCUUAAAACUCAAAGGACUUGGCGGUGCUUUAAACCCAUCUAGAGGAGCCUGUUCUAUAAUCGAUGAACCCCGCUAAACCUCACCACUUCUCGCUAAACCAGUCUAUAUACCGCCAUCUUCAGCAAACCCUAGCAAGGAGCAAAAGUAAGCACAACUACCCCCAUAAAAACGUUAGGUCAAGGUGUAACCAAUGAAGUGGGAAGAAAUGGGCUACAUUUUCUUCUUUCAAGAAUAUCUUCACAGAAAUCUUUAUGAAACCUAAAGGUCUAAGGAGGAUUUAGUAGUAAACUAAGAAAAGAGAGCUUGGUUGAAUAAGGCCAUAAAGCACGCACACACCGCCCGUCACCCUCCUCAAAUAUUCACUCAAAUUUGUACAAAUUAUAAAACAUGAGAGGAGACAAGUCGUAACAAGGUAAGCAUACUGGAAAGUGUGCUUGGAUGAC
rnacentral:ncRNA from 1 species